rnacentral:rRNA from 1 species
UGGGGAAUAUUGCACAAUGGGCGCAAGCCUGAUGCAGCCAUGCCGCGUGUAUGAAGAAGGCCUUCGGGUUGUAAAGUACUUUCAGUCGGGAGGAAGGUGUCAAGGUUAAUAACCUUGGCAAUUGACGUUACCGACAGAAUAAGCACCGGCUAACUCCGUGCCAGCAGCCGCGGUAAUACGGAUGGUGCAAGCGUUAAUCGGAAUUACUGGGCGUAAAGCGCACGCAGGCGGUUGAUUGAGUCAGAUGUGAAAUCCCCGGGCUUAACCCGGGAAUUGCAUCUGAUACUGGUCAGCUAGAGUCUUGUAGAGGGGGGUAGAAUUCCAUGUGUAGCGGUGAAAUGCGUAGAGAUGUGGAGGAAUACCGGUGGCGAAGGCGGCCCCCUGGACAAAGACUGACGCUCAGGUGCGAAAGCGUGGGGAGCAAACAGG